CAGGUGUCGUGCUGGGGGUGGAUUUGAGCCACACGGUUCGACGGGGCGGUGAAACCGCUCCGAGCGCCGCUUCAGCGGCGACCCGGAGGGUGAGGGGCGAAGCCCCGAAUAAUCCACCCCCCUCCACCA
rnacentral:sRNA from 1 species